AUCUUAAAUUCUGCUUUAGCUAAAUCUCAAACAAUCUGUUAAAUAUCGAUAUGUAGUAUGUAAAAAAGUAAUGACAUGUAAUCAUUGUAAUGCAAUGCAUGAAAUUACACAUUUUUCUUUAUCAGUGAAUGCAUUAAAUUACAAUUACAUGUAAUGCGAAAAAUACUGCAUUACACAUACCAUCCAAUAACUUGGGAAAAUGUAUUGUAUAACCAUGCAUUACAAUUACAAACUAUCAUAACCCUAUGCAUUAUACAUACCCAUCAAAUCGAAAUAAACUCUCAAAUUACAACAUUGAAAAACAUAAAACAUAAAUGACAAAAGCAAUAUAAAAUGCAUGAAAUCGGACG
rnacentral:lncRNA from 1 species